AGAGGAAAAAUCUGAGGUUGUGUAAACACAGUUUAAUCUCACAUAUAAAAGGCCAAGCUCAUUUUGAGCCAGAUCCGUCUUAAGCUGCACCAUUUCUUUUCUUACUGAUGGCUGUCUCCUUUCCAAACGCACAAAAUCAAGGGCUCGGUGUGGGUAAGAGACAUAAAUGAUAAGAUUUUUGGGGUUUCCUGUUGUGGAGUCCCCAAAGAAAAGAUACAUGAAUAGGGAGACACUCAUGCUCUUUUUCAUUUGGAUCUGGCCUGCAGAUCACAACAGACUGGACAUCUGGAGAGCCGGCAGGAUUCCCAGGUGGGCU
rnacentral:lncRNA from 1 species